GAUGAACGCUAGCGGCAGGCCUAAUACAUGCAAGUCGAACGGGAUCCAGAUCAAAGCUUGCUUUGGUUUGGUGAGAGUGGCGCACGGGUGCGUAACGCGUGAGCAACCUACCCUUGUCAGGGGGAUAGCCCGGCGAAAGUCGGAUUAAUACCGCAUGACAUCAUUGAGAGGCAUCUUUCGAUGAUCAAAGAUUUAUCGGACAAGGAUGGGCUCGCGUGACAUUAGCUAGUUGGUAAGGUAACGGCUUACCAAGGCUGCGAUGUCUAGGGGCUCUGAGAGGAGAAUCCCCCACACUGGUACUGAGACACGGACCAGACUCCUACGGGAGGCAGCAGUAAGGAAGAUUGGUCAAUGGACGGAAGUCUGAACCAGCCAUGCCGCGUGCAGGAAGGCGGCCCUAUGGGUUGUAAACUGCUUUUAUACGGGAACAAACGUCGGUACGUGUACCGGUCUGAGUGUACCGUAAGAAUAAGGAUCGGCUAACUCCGUG
rnacentral:rRNA from 1 species